GACGCCUUAGCUCCCACGCGACGACCCCUCCGGAACCCGCCAUGUUCAUCACGCAACAACCCCACGCCGCGUGGCGCCCGAGGAGGCAUGGAGAGCACGGAGGAGAAGAAGA
rnacentral:ribozyme from 1 species